rnacentral:rRNA from 1 species
AUUGAACGCUGGCGGCAGGCCUAACACAUGCAAGUCGAGCGAGCGGCGGACGGGUGAGUAAUGUCUGGGAAACUGCCUGAUGGAGGGGGAUAACUACUGGAAACGGUAGCUAAUACCGCAUACCAUCAGAUGUGCCCAGGUGGGAUUAGCUAGGAGGUGGGGUAACGGCUCACCGAGGCGCCGAUCCCUAGCUGGUCUGAGAGGAUGACCAGCCACCAUGGAACGGCGACACGGUCCAGACUCCUACGGGAGGCAGCAGUGGGGAAUAUUGCACAAUGGUCGCAAGCCUGAUGGAGCCAUGCCGCGUGUGUGAAGAAGGCCUUCGGGUUGGAAAGCACUUUCAGCGGUGAGGCGUUACCCGCAGAAGAAGCACCGGCUAACUCCGUGCCAGCAGCCGCGGUAAUUC